rnacentral:lncRNA from 1 species
AUUCCGGCAGAGAAGCUCGCAUCCGGCGACCCCAUCUCCGGAUGGUUCCCAGUGAUUGGCCCAUUAGGAAAGCCACCAAAGCCCAACACAGCACUUCGGAUCGAGAUGCAAUUCACACCUUGCGAAAAAAACCCUCAUUAUCAACGCGGCAUUGCCGGCCAUCCGGAGCACAUGGGUGUCCACCAAACUUACUUUCCAUUGAGGAGAGGUGGGUCAGUGGCUCUGUACCAAGACGCUCAUUCUCCUGGAGAAGCACUGUCACCGGAGAUUGAACUGGAUGGAGGUAUAGUGUACAAACGCGGGCAGUGUUGGGAAGAUAUAUGCCACGCCAUAGUAGAGG